AUGGAAGACGCCAUCGUGGGGGAAGGCGACGAGGCCGGAGGUGUGGGGCUCACGGCCGGCUUCGAGGACUGGCCGGAUGACGCCGAGGUCGAAGUCGCCCUGCGCCGCCAGCCGGCGCCUGAUCAUCAAGGCGCGAGCUCGUCCGCCGCGCCGGCUGCUGGCGGUGGCGCCCAGAAGUGCCGGGCCGUGUCGAUCCUCUUCGGCAGCUGGCCGAAGAAGUCCAAGGCUUCCACAGCGGCGACCAAGCGAGAUGAGGCGGCCGCGAAGGCGGCCCGCUUCUGCAAGGUGGUGAAGCAGCCGCAGGCGAUCUCAGCGGCGCUGCUUUCCCUUGAGUGGGGUCCGGGCGGCUCCGUAGUCGGGCCGACUGGAGGGUCUUCAAGCUCUCGCCGCGUGGAUUCCCGCGCCGACCUCAGGGAGGCCACGGAGCGGAACGCACGAGAGGUGCGGGAGGAGCGGGAGGCGGCGGAGCGAAGGGCCGCCCAGGCGACGAAGGAGCAGGCCGAUGUAGCAGCCAAGGCCCGGACGGAGGCAACAGCUACGGAGACGGAGGCGGAGACUUCGCACAACCAGCCUCCGCUGCUAGCCAUUCCCCUCCGCGCCGUGGCCCCAACAUUCCUGUGCCUCCGCUGGAGGAGGUCGACCAAGAACCGCCGGUGA
rnacentral:rRNA from 1 species